rnacentral:misc_RNA from 1 species
CUUUUUGUGCAUAAUGUAUAUAUAGGGGGGUGGUAGUACUCUUGGGGUAGACAGGCAUGUGCUGGGAUGGCAUGCCAAGGCAUGUGCUGGGAUGGCAUGCCAAGGACAAGCAUGUGCUGGGAAGGCAUGCCAAGGCGUAGACAAGGCCAAGGCAAGCACAUGCAUCGCGAGGGAGACGAGACGGUUACGAUUACCCCAAGAGUGCCCAAGGGAGAGGAAAGAGGUGUCAAACGCAUGCUAAGCCCCACUUUGGUAGUUUGGCACCCCCAUAGGCAUUCAGGCAAGCGUGCCUAUGGGAAAAGUCGCUUGAGCUUGUCAGCCAUGUUGGGUAUCAGCGGACGAGAUGAUGGCACAAGGAUGCUUGCUUUAAGGUAACGUUCCGGCAGCACAGCCAGCCCGCAAUUGCUAGUUCAAGCGGGUGGAAUCUGCCUAUAGGGGCGUUGCUUGCUUGCUGUGGAGUUGGGACACGCCCAAUAUCUAUCAUCGAUCCAACGAAGUGCUCAACGUGGGUUGCUGAGGGCUAUUUUGGCACUGACGGUUCACUUGUUUGCUUGGCUUUGAUAAACGUUUAGAUGUCAUGAUGCUUGGGAUCCAAUAAAUUUUUGUGGGAAGCUAAGAGCUGGAACCCAAUGUCAUUCACCAGACGGGUUAGCUUCGUCAGUGUGUAUAAUAUGUCAUUGAACCCCAAUCCUCGAUGCCAACCUGAUUAUGACUUUUGGAUCGCAAUUAUCGUGGUUAUCGAAAACUGAGUAGGAGUCAUUGAAUAAGUGAACAAUUUGUAGCCUUUAAUAGCUGUCAGCUUACGCAUCGCCCGGUGUGUUUUGGGAAUCGCUUUAUGCAUUUGGUUGCCUGCCGUGCCUCUUGGCAUACACGGUGGGUUCCACUUGCCGGGUGGUUUUCGGAAACAUCCACCGUAAAGGUGCAUGAGUGGUAUUUGGUUUGUUACGGGUGGUUGGCUCUUUGCUUGUGCAACAACUGCCACCCGACUUACCUCUUCAGAUGUUUGCCUAGGCUUGUAUAGCCUAAGCAGAUUGUGGGUUUUCUGUGUUGCCUACCUACGUUACGGAAUUGUCCCGAUCGAUCAAAGCUGUUUUCGUCUUGUGUCGUUUCGAUGGCAUAAGAUGAACUAUGAAGCUGUCUCUUUGCACCGCAUCGUUAAUGCAUGCGUUGAUGAUGUGGCCCAUUGAGCAUUGCUUGGUACCUUGGAUACGGAACCUUAUGUGGGCAUGGGUCCUUGGGGAUCCUUGUUCUGCCCUCGUUUAGCGUUCGCGCUUCUCUUAGAAUGACUGCCCAACCGGAAUGGGAAGCCAUUGUGGAUGGGUAUCGUCAAAGAGGAAUGC